UACGAAGGGGGCUAGCGUUGCUCGGAAUUACUGGGCGUAAAGGGCGCGUAGGCGGGUCGUGUAGUUAGAGGUGAAAGCCCAGGGCUCAACCCUGGAAUUGCCUUUAAUACUGGCGGCCUUGAGUAUGGCAGAGGUGUGUGGAACUCCGAGUGUAGAGGUGAAAUUCGUAGAUAUUCGGAAGAACACCAGUGGCGAAGGCGACACACUGGGCCAUUACUGACGCUGAGGCGCGAAAGCGUGGGGAGCAAACAGG
rnacentral:rRNA from 1 species